rnacentral:rRNA from 1 species
UACGUAGGUGGCGAGCGUUAUCCGGAAUUAUUGGGCGUAAAGCGCACGCAGGCGGCCAUUUAAGUCUGACGUGAAAGCUCCUGGCUUAACUGGGAGAGGUCGUUGGAAACUGGAUGGCUUGAGGUGAUGAGAGGGGUGCAGAAUUCCCGGUGUAGUGGUGGAAUGCGUAGAGAUCGGGAGGAAUACCAGUGGCGAAAGCGGCACCCUGGCAUGGACCUGACGCUCAGGUGCGAAAGCGUGGGGAGCGAACGGG